GAUGAACGCUAGCGGCAGGCUUAACACAUGCAAGUCGAGGGGCAGCGCGGGAUAGCAAUAUCCUGGCGGCGACCGGCGGAAGGGUGCGUAACGCGUGAGCGACAUGCCCGUUGCCCGGGGACAACCGGUGGAAACGCCGACUAAUCCCCGAUGGGAUAUUGUGCCGCAUGGCACGAUAUUGAAAGUUACGGCGGCGACGGAUUGGCUCGCGUCCGAUUAGCUGGUUGGCGGGGUAACGGCCCACCAAGGCUGCGAUCGGUAGGGGUUCUGAGAGGAAGGCCCCCCACAAUGGGACUGAGACACGGCCCAUACUCCUACGGGAGGCAGCAGUGAGGAAUAUUGGUCAAUGGGCGGAAGCCUGAACCAGCCAUGCCGCGUGCGGGAAGGAGGCCCUAUGGGCUGUGGACCGCUUUUGCCUGGGGGCAAUAAGGGCGUCGCGCACGUCCGAUGAGAGUACCAGGCGAAUAAGCAUCGGCUAACUCCGUG
rnacentral:rRNA from 1 species